rnacentral:rRNA from 1 species
UACGAAGGAUUCGAGCGUUAUCCGGAUUUAUUGGGUUUAAAGGGUGCGUAGGUGGAUUAAUAAGUCAGUGGUGAAAGCCCGAAGCUCAACUUCGGAACUGCCAUUGAUACUGUUAAUCUUGAGUACAGUUGAGGUGGGCGGAAUGUGUCAUGUAGCGGUGAAAUGCUUAGAUAUGACACAGAACACCGAUUACGAAGGCAGCUCACUAAGCUGUAACUGACACUGAGGCACGAAAGUGUGGGUAGCAAAUGGG